rnacentral:rRNA from 1 species
CCUACGGGAGGCAGCAGUGGGGAAUAUUGCACAAUGGGGGAAACCCUGAUCCAGCGACGCCGCGUGAGCGAUGAAGUAUUUCGGUAUGUAAAGCUCUUUCUGCAGGGAAGAAAAUGACGGUACCUGACUCUGAAGCCCCGGCUAACUACGUGCAAGCAGCCGCGGUACUACGUAGGGUGCCAGCGUUAUCCGGAUUUACUGGGUGUAAAGGGAGCGUAGGCGGCGGUGCAAGCGAGAUGUGAAAGGCUGGGGCUCAACCACGGGACUGCAUUUGGAACUGUGCUGCUAGAGUGUCGGAGAGGCAGGCGGAAUUCCUAGUGUAGCGGUGAAAUGCGUAGAUAUUAGGAGGAACACCAGUGGCGAAGGCGGCCUGCUGGACGAUGACUGACGUUGAGGCUCGAAAGCGUGGGGAGCAAACAGGAUUAGAUACCCUUGUAGUC